ACAUGACACUGCAUUUUUGACAUUCAUUGUCAGUACUGUGGAGAGAAAUACAAUAAAAUGUGCUGAACAGGGUUCAUGUAAUGACGACUUCACAAAAUUAUCAUUAUAAUUUACAACAAAACAACAUCAAUAAAUUAGAGCUUAAACCCUUUAUGACAUUUUAUUAACAAAUAUUUAAGUAUUUAAAGUAUUUAUCAGUUCUUAUUCUCAAAAUUAUUUAUAUUAUUAGGGUUAUUAUUUUUUAUAGUUUUACUAAUAUAUAGGUGAACAUAGGUGCAUAUAUGUACAUAUAAUAAAGGAAAACAAUCAAUUUAUAUACAUCACAGAUAUUAAAAACCUAUAUCAAAACCUAUAUUGAAACAUAUGUUUAUAUAGCUUCUUUCCAUGUGGGUGUACAUUACAAGCUGACAGAAAUAUUGAACAACGUGAAGACAUCAUUGCUUUUUAUCUCUUCUAAUUGCCAUAGUUAAAUUCCAUAAAGUGUCAAUUACAUGUGAUACCAAUUUCACGUGUUCGCACAUACAAAAGUUCUUGCAUUUUUUUUUUUUUUUAGUUAGAAAAUAUGAGUUAAGGCAUCAUGUUUAAUAGUUGCCAAAGUGAGAUAUGAGCCACAAAAUGACCAGAUCCUACCAUGAGCUAUAUAGGAGAGAUAUUUUGUAUCUAUAGGGCUUAUGUGUGAAUAUAAAGAAGCAAUACAGGAGACCUAUAUAGCCUGUCUAUGCACAUACCGUAUAUGCACCUCAAUUUUGCCUAUAUGUGGCAUAUAUACGCAUAUAUGCGGCAUAACUUAUCAUAUAUGGGCAUAUGCUGUAGCCUAUAUAUGCAGCAUAUAUGGGCAUAUAAGCUGCAUAUGGGUUUCAUAUAUAUGCGCAUAUAUCCUCAUAUAGGUUCUUUCCAUGUGAGUACAGCAAAAUCACCAGUGUUAAAUAUAUAAUGAUGAUGUAUAUAUAUAUGGGUAUCUAGGUCUACUCAUAUAAACACCAGCAGUGUACAUUUAACUCUGGUGAUUUUGCUGUGUAUAUUACAGAGAAAUAUUUGCUUUCUUUUGCUUUAGGUUUUUUUAAUAAUACAAAUAUACAAGCUACACUUUGUGUAUUGCAUGGCUCAGUCAUUGUAAAAAAAGAACAACACUCCUUUUAUCACACAACUUUAUUUAAGAGGGGAGUUACCGUGUGGCUUACUAGCUAGUGUAAUACAGUCACAGUUAUGACAUGAAUAACAUCAAUGCUAAUAAUCCCCAUUACCACAUAACUAAGUACAACAUAAUCUCCCAAUAUGACAUGAGUGCCGAUGGUGUUGUGACCAGCGGGGCUUCAUUUAGGCUAGACCUAAGUCCUAUUCGGACAUGAGUUAUGCAUGAGUUACUUUACCCAUUACAUUCUCAUUUAUGUCUACACGUGUUGCAUAGUGUGUGCACUAGCAGUGUGUGAUAUUGGUGUAUUGUGUGUUUUAAUAAGUUAUCAGAACUCUGUGAAUUCAACUUUGUAAGCACAACCUGCAGAUUGGGUGUGCUUGUUGACCACGUCCUGGUGAGCAUGUAGUCCCGCACUAAACACGCUCUUUAU